CCUACGGGGGGCUGCAGUGGGGAAUAUUGGACAAUGGGCGAAAGCCUGAUCCAGCCAUGCCGCGUGUGUGAAGAAGGCCUUCGGGUUGUAAAGCACUUUCAGUGGGGAAGAAAGCCUUGGGGCUAAUACCCUCGAGGAAGGACAUCACCCACAGAAGAAGCACCGGCUAACUCCGUGCCAGCAGCCGCGGUAAUACGGAGGGUGCGAGCGUUAAUCGGAAUUACUGGGCGUAAAGCGCGCGUAGGCGGUCUGAUAAGCCGGUUGUGAAAGCCCCGGGCUCAACCUGGGAACGGCAUCCGGAACUGUCAGGCUAGAGUGCAGGAGAGGAAGGUAGAAUUCCCGGUGUAGCGGUGAAAUGCGUAGAGAUCGGGAGGAAUACCAGUGGCGAAGGCGGCCUUCUGGACUGACACUGACGCUGAGGUGCGAAAGCGUGGGUAGCAAACAGGAUUAGAUACCCCAGUAGU
rnacentral:rRNA from 1 species